GUGAAACCGCGAAUGGCUCAUUAAAUCACACCUUAUGUACCGGACAGUUCCUUUUACUUGGAUAACUGCGGUAAUUCUGGAGCUAAUACAUGCCUACAAAGCCUGACUCACGGAGGGCUGCUUUUAUUAGAUCAAAACCAAACUGCUUCGGCAGUUCAAUUGGUGACUCUGGAUAACUUAUCGAUCGAACGUUCCUAGAAACGUCGACGUGUCCGUCCAAGGUGUGCCCUAUCAACUGUCGACUGUGGCAUAGACGCCCACAGUGGUUUUGACGGGUAACGGGGAAUUAGGGUUCGAUUCCGGAGAGGGAGCCUGAGAAACGGCUACCACUUCUAAGGAAGGCAGCAGGCACGCAAAUUACCCAAUGGUCGAAGACCGAGGUAGUGACGAAAAAUAACGAUACCGGUCUCUU
rnacentral:rRNA from 1 species